UACAGAGGUCCCAAGCGUUGUUCGGAUUCAUUGGGCGUAAAGGGUGCGUAGGCGGGUUUGUAAGUCGAUUGUGAAAUCCCCGGGCUUAACCUGGGAACAGCAGUCGAAACUGCAAAUCUUGGAUACCUGAGAGGAUGGCGGAAUUCCCGGUGUAGAAGUGAAAUUCGUAGAUAUCGGGAAGAACACCUGAGGCGAAGGCGGCUGUCUGGCGGUGUAUCGACGCUGAGGCGCGAAAGCGUGGGGAGCAAACAGG
rnacentral:rRNA from 1 species